GCAGUCGAGCGGGGAAGGUAGCUUGCUACUGGACCUAGCGGCGGACGGGUGAGUAAUGCUUAGGAAUCUGCCUAUUAGUGGGGGACAACAUCUCGAAAGGGAUGCUAAUACCGCAUACGUCCUACGGGAGAAAGCAGGGGAUCUUCGGACCUUGCGCUAAUAGAUGAGCCUAAGUCGGAUUAGCUAGUUGGUGGGGUAAAGGCCUACCAAGGCGACGAUCUGUAGCGGGUCUGAGAGGAUGAUCCGCCACACUGGGACUGAGACACGGCCCAGACUCCUACGGGAGGCAGCAGUGGGGAAUAUUGGACAAUGGGCGCAAGCCUGAUCCAGCCAUGCCGCGUGUGUGAAGAAGGCCUUAUGGUUGUAAAGCACUUUAAGCGAGGAGGAGGCUACUUUAGAUAAUACCUAGAGAUAGUGGACGUUACUCGCAGAAUAAGCACCGGCUAACUCUGUGCCAGCAGCCGCGGUAAUACAGAGGGUGCAAGCGUUAAUCGGAUUUACUGGGCGUAAAGCGCGCGUAGGCGGCUAAUUAAGUCAAAUGUGAAAUCCCCGAGCUUAACUUGGGAAUUGCAUUCGAUACUGGUUAGCUAGAGUGUGGGAGAGGAUGGUAGAAUUCCAGGUGUAGCGGUGAAAUGCGUAGAGAUCUGGAGGAAUACCGAUGGCGAAGGCAGCCAUCUGGCCUAACACUGACGCUGAGGUGCGAAAGCAUGGGGAGCAAACAGGAUUAGAUACCCUGGUAGUCCAUGCCGUAAACGAUGUCUACUAGCCGUUGGGGCCUUUGAGGCUUUAGUGGCGCAGCU
rnacentral:rRNA from 1 species